rnacentral:antisense_RNA from 1 species
GGUCCAAACAUGAAAUAAUUCCCAACAUCAAGACUGAUUGAAACAUAUUCAGUGGGAUGUAGGCUGGUGGCAGAAAGUAGACCCUGGAGAACAGGAGCACUUGGUUUCAAAUAAAAUACCUGCAUUAAAUAUUCAGCUUUCCUGCAGUUUUAUCAUUACAUUUGAUUUGUAAAGAAGAUAGAAGUCUUAAGUCACUGUACAAAGAGAAAGAUAUAAAAAUUUAAAAAGAUACAAUGACUUUCCCAUAGCUAACAAGGAGCCAGUAUGGGUCCAAGUUUUGGCAUCGAUUUGGGGAAAAUGCUUUCAAACUCUAAAAUCCUAUAAAGAUGGGGAAAAUAAUUACUAAUAAAGGCCUACUACGGCCUUUUAUAUGUGUAACUGGAUCUUGGUUCAUGCUGCGCUUAAAAUUUGAUCUUCUGAAUAUCAGCAGAAAGACUCUGGUGAAUACAGGUCUUCUGAGCAAUUAUCAGCUGACUUUGUCGUUAGACUGCCCUUUCAGAAGGUACAAAAAAA